UUCCGGAGAGGGAGCCUGAGAAACGGCUACCACAUCCAAGGAAGGCAGCAGGCGCGCAAAUUACCCAAUCCAGACAUUGGGAGGUAGUGACGAGAAAUACUGGGGGCGCCCCAAGCGGGUGCCAUCCGGAAUGAACGUAACACAAAAAAUUCGGUGAGGAUCUACUGGAGGGCAAGUCUGGUGCCAGCAGCCGCGGUAAUUCCAGCUCCAGUAGUGUAUAUCAACAUUGUUGCGCUUAAAACGCUCGUAGUUGGAUUACAGAGCCCCAAACACUGGGCUACAAGUUGGUCGUCGGUGGUGCAGUGUGGCCGAUGCUCUCUCGGGGCGUCGGUUUGCUGUGCGGGGCUCUUUUGUCGCGCUGGUGCCGGUCGGUGUCUUUGUUGGCACUGGUUGGCAGCCGGCGGAGUGUGCCUUGAAUAAAGCAUGGUGCUCAAAGCAGGCGUACGCUCGGGUGUAAUAGCAUGGAACGAAUAGUUGUGUAACUGACCGGGAGUCAGCGGGUAGAGUGCUGAAGAGCGCGCUGGUCGUCGGCCCGGAACAAGCCAGUGUUGGUGCGUUCGCGGUCUCAACGGUUAACAGGGACACCUGAGGGUACUAGUACUUUGUGGCGAGAGGUGAAAUUCUUAGACCCGCAAAAGACUGACUAUUGCGAAAGCAUUUGCCAAGAGUGUUUUCAUUAAUCAAGAACGAAGGUCAGAGGAUCGAAGACGAUCAGAUACCGUCCUAGUUUUGACAGCAAACGAUGCCGGCAUGGAGCCGGGGCGGCCGGCUUGAAUGCAAGCUGUGCCACCUGGGUUCCUAGGGGAAACCUAGCUUUCGGGCUGCUGGGAGAAUAUCGCUGCAAGGCUGAAAUUUAAAGAAAUUGACGGAGAGGCACCACCAGGAGUGGAGCCUGCGGCUUAAUUUGACUCAACACGGGGAAACUCACCAGGUCCAGACAUUGGCAGGAUUGACAGACUGGUGGAUCUUUCAUGAUUCAGUGAAUGGUGGUGCAUGGCCGUUCUUAGUUGGUGGAGUGAUCUGUCAGGUCUAUUCCGGUAACGAGCGAGACCACGGCCUUUGAGUUGGUCGACACGGUGCGUUCUACGGGAUGCAGCCGGGUUAAUGGCCAAACUAGAGGGACAAUCGGCGCUCAAGCCGGGGGAAGCGUGGCAAUAACAGGUCUGUGAUGCCCUUCGAUGUCCUGGGCUGCACGCGCGCUACAAUGGCAGCAGUAGAGAGUUGACUAGCCAGAAAUGGCCGGUAAAACUGAAAAUGGCUGUCGUGAUGGGGAUUGAGCCUUGCAAUUGUCGCUCAUGAAAGAGGAAUUCCUCGUAAGCGCAAGUCAUCAGCUUGUGUUGAAUACGUCUCUGCCUCUUGUACACACCGCCCGUCGCUACUACCGAUUGAAUUGCUUCUAAAGCUGGUCGA
rnacentral:rRNA from 1 species